GUGGUGCAUGGCUGUCGUCAGCUCGUUUCGUGAGAUGUUGGGUUAAGUCCCGAAAUGAGCGCAACCCUCAUCCUUAGUUGCCAUCAGGUAAUGCUGAGUACUUUAAGGAAACUGCCAGUGAUAAGCUGGAGGAAGGUGGGGAUGAUGUCAAGUCAUCAUGGCCUUUAUGGAGUGGGCUACACACGUGCUACAAUGGUGUCUACAAUGGGUUGCAAGGUGCGCAAGCCUAAGCUAAACCCUAAAAGACAUCUCAGUUCGGAUUGUACUCUGCAACUCGAGUACAUGAAGUUGGAAUCGCUAGUAAUCGUAGAUCAGCACGCCACGGUGAAUACGUUCUCGGGUCUUG
rnacentral:rRNA from 1 species